rnacentral:rRNA from 1 species
GAUCCUGGCUCAGGAUGAACGCUAGCGACAGGCUUAACACAUGCAAGUCGGAGGGGCAGCAUGAUUUGUAGCAAUACAGAUUGAUGGCGACCGGCGCACGGGUGAGUAACGCGUAUGCAACUUACCUAUCAGAGGGGGAUAGCCCGGCGAAAGUCGGAUUAACUACCCCAUAAAACAGGGGUCCCGCAUGGGAAUAUUUGUUAAAGAUUCAUCGCUGAUAGAUAGGCAUGCGUU